rnacentral:rRNA from 1 species
UACGUAGGGGGGCAAGCGUUGUCCGGAAUCAUUGGGCGUAAAGAGCGUGUAGGCGGCCAGAAAAGUCCGCUGUGAAAACUCGAGGCUCAACUUCGAGCUGUCGGUGGAAACUUUCUGGCUAGAGUCCGGAAGAGGAGAAUGGAAUUCCUGGUGUAGCGGUGAAAUGCGCAGAUAUCAGGAAGAACACCCCGUGGCGAAGGCGGUUCUCUGGGACGGUACUGACGCUGAGACGCGAAAGCGUGGGGAGCGAACAGG